rnacentral:rRNA from 1 species
UACGAAGGGUGCAAGCGUUGUUCGGAUUUAUUGGGCGUAAAGCGCGCGUAGGCGGACCUGUAAGUCAGAUGUGAAAUCUCGGGGCUCAACCUCGAAACUGCGUCUGAAACUGCAGGUCUAGAAUCUUGGAGGGGGAAGGGGAAUUUCGCAUGUAGGGGUAAAAUCCGUAGAUAUGCGAAGGAACACCAGAGGCGAAGGCGCCUUCCUGGACAAGUAUUGACGCUGAGGCGCGAAAGCGGUGGGGAUCAAACGGG